rnacentral:rRNA from 1 species
GAUGAACGCUGGCGGCGUGCCUAAUACAUGCAAGUCGAGCGAACGGACGAGAAGCUUGCUUCUCUGAUGUUAGCGGCGGACGGGCGAGUAACACGUGGAUAACCUACCUAUAAGACUGGGAUAACUUCGGGAAACCGGAGCUAAUACCGGAUAAUAUUUUGAACCGCAUGGUUCAAAAGUGAAAGACGGUCUUGCUGUCACUUAUAGAUGGAUCCGCGCUGCAUUAGCUAGUUGGUAAGGUAACGGCUUACCAAGGCAACGAUGCAUAGCCGACCUGAGAGGGUGAUCGGCCACACUGGAACUGAGACACGGUCCAGACUCCUACGGGAGGCAGCAGUAGGGAAUCUUCCGCAAUGGGCGAAAGCCUGACGGAGCAACGCCGCGUGAGUGAUGAAGGUCUUCGGAUCGUAAAACUCUGUUAUUAGGGAAGAACAUAUGUGUAAGUAACUGUGCACAUCUUGACGGUACCUAAUCAGAAAGCCACGGCUAACUACGCG